CUUCUUGACAGCCUUCCUGGAUUAGAGCUGAUUUUGGCGAAUGGGAUUUCUGUUUUCUCUUCCUUCAUAUUGACUCAAAUUUUAAAUGUAUCUUUUCUUCCUACACCUAAAGAAUUAUCUGACCUGUGAUUUCCUGUUUCUACCCUGCUGUUUAUAAAUCUUAUGUCUACACCAGCCUACGGGCCAAGGGCCAAGUAUAACACUUUUUGCUGCUUCAGAACCACUAUUUUAUUCUUUUCUCCAAACAUUUAGAAUUGGGUUGAAUGGUGAAAACAAUUUCAGGUACUUCAAUCUUUGCCUGAGGAGCUGUUGUUUAGUCACUAAGCCGAGUCGGACUCUUUUGCGACCCAAGGACUGUAGCCCACAAGGCUCCAUUCUCCAUGGAAUUUCCCAGAUACUAAAACCACCAUUAAAUGGAAGAAAUUAUCUACCUGAUGACCAUGAGCAUGUGGCCCCCAGACCUACUGGCACCUAAGGACUGAUAAUAUUAACUCCUGUGACUCUGCCCUUUUACUUCCCCGUCAGCCGAUUAGAGAACUGUGCACAACCUGAUCCUACCCUGGGCUGCCCCUCCCUCACUUUGUCUUUAAAAAUAUGCUUCCCUGAAGCCCAUCUAGGAAUUUGGGCUUUUUGAGCACUUGCUGUCCUGAACACCUUGCUUGGCACCCUGCAGUAAGCGCUGCACUGUCCUUCACCGCAACCUGGUGUCAGUACAUUGGCUUUACCUCUCAAGGGCAAGCAGACCCAAGUUUGGUUCCGUAACAUGUAUAGUUAAAAUUACUCAACUCCAUGUCGUUUAACUCACAGACCCACGCUAUAG
ensembl:lncRNA